UACGUAGGGUGCAAGCGUUGUCCGGAAUUAUUGGGCGUAAGAGCUCGUAGGUGGUUUGUCGCGUUGUCCGUGAAAACUCACAACUCAAUUGUGGGCGUGCGGGCGAUACGGGCAGACUGGAGUACUGCAGGGGAGACUGGAAUUCCUGGUGUAGCGGUGGAAUGCGCAGAUAUCAGGAGGAACACCGGUGGCGAAGGCGGGUCUCUGGGCAGUAACUGACGCUGAGGAGCGAAAGCGUGGGGAGCGAACAGG
rnacentral:rRNA from 1 species